AACUCUAAAAAAAAAAAGAAAGAAGAGUCUUUGCAGAGGGAGAAUGCCUGAAGACCACAGGGUCAAGACUGGAGUGAUGCAGUCCGCAGCCACAAGCCACGGAACACCACAGACUGCCAGCCACCGCCAGAAACUAGGAAGAGGCACAGGCAGGUUCUACCCAAAGCUCCUGGAGAGAACACGACCCUGCUGACACGGACGUCACACGUCUCACCUCCAAAACUGA